CGCUGCCAGAGGGCAGUUCCCGCGGGAUUUGGCCAGCGCUUCCUUUUCUUCUUGAGUUGCUCCUCCUCUCUCACCCCGGACACCUGUGCCAGCCCCGCCUCACGUUGAAGGCCCCUGCGUAAUUGGACUGCGCAGCCCUGAAGAUCCUCGACUUCCCCAGGGUCACAAGUGACCCUUCUUCUCCAACUUGUCACCUGUGAUCUCCUUGAAAGCAAGAAUUUUGUAUUGCUGACAACACCUAGUUUAGCGGAUUAGCGGGCACGCAGGAAAUGUUAAAACAGCUCAGUGUAGAACUGUUGAAGAAAAGAAAAGCUAUCUAAUGUUCCAGCCUGGACCUAAGCUUUUCCCAAGUCUGAACUUUAGAGCUGAUAGAUACUGAAAUAGCCUAUUCCAGAGGAGGAACGAGGGAUAGACAACCCAAGAAGGCAGGAAACUCACUUUGAGGAGACAUGGAGAACAACUGAUCAACAUCUCCUCAUAAUAAUCCCCUGAACACCUGAAGACAGCUGUGAGCGCUUAAAGAUUUGCUGAGGCUAAUCUGAACACAGAUAAAAGUCAAUGAAUAAAAGUAGAAGUGAUGGGUUCUGUGAAAUUAUUUGCUGGUAUUAAAUCAGAGUUCCAAGGAUAAGAACAUGUCUACUCCCUGUGUGGGGC
ensembl:lncRNA